UUCCCCCAAAAACUUUACAAUCAUAAUGAGCAACGUAAUCAGUAAAGCAGAAACAAUUUUGUUUUAUAUAAAGACGAGUGUUGACGAUACAUAUUUAAAUUUUACUAAUAACGAUUAUGUUAAUGAUUCAUGUUGAUGGUGUACAUUCAAACAAUUAUUGUAAUCGUCAUGUGUAAAACUAUUGUGAUCUUAAUCUGGUGCCACCAAACAAAAAGAAGGAUUUCUAACCAAUAAAAUGGUACACAUUUAUGAAGUAACAAUCUUUUUGUGCAACACCACUUGAACUUUUGUCCAAAAUAGUUUCAAGUAAAAAAUAAGGGAUGAAAAUUCCAACAGAGUUACUCAAACUACUUGUUAUAAUGGAGAGAAAAAAAAAAGGAUUGGAUUGUGUUUACAUAACAUUAAACAACUAGAAUUUGAAGUUUUAAAAAAAAGAGAAAAAGGAGAAGGGAAUACAAACCAUGAAUCUUACUUUGUAACAAAAAAAACAAUUUACAUUACGACAUUAGUAAAUAUGAUACAAAUAAUUUUAUUUUUAUUUAAAGUUGUCCUACUUGCAUGGACAUCUAAUGUCAAAUCCGCAUUGACGACAAAAGUUCCAACACAAUUUGUGACGUAAUCAAUAAACUACGAACAAUUUUGUUUUAUGUAAAGACGAGUGUUGGCGAUACAUAUUUUUAAUGAAGCUGAAGACAAUUAGUUUAGUAAUUUAUGUUGACAGAGUAUAUACAAACAAUCAUUGUAACCGUCAUGUCAGAACGACCGCAGUCUAAAAUCUUGAGCCACCAAACAAAAAGAAUUCCAAACCAAUGAAAUGGUGCACACACUUAAAUUGUCUAACCCCACACAAACACCAGAUAUUUAAGCACUAACCCUAGUUUAAAGUAGGUGAAUCCUCCAACCAAGUUGCAGAUUUUAUUUUCUCUUUUGGCCAUGAGUGUUUGGAUCGUUUUCAUGGGGGCCUCUUCAUUUUUGUUUGCUUCCCCCAAAAAUCUUACAAUCACAAAGCACUAAAGCAACCACAAAGCACUAAAGCAACCAAUGCAUGCCACUUCUACUGUUUUGUUCGGCCGGCAUGGAUGACACCUGCCCCUCAAAUGAAAAAAAUAAAGAAACACCAAACCAUAACCCUAACCCUAACCCUAAUUUUCAGUUCCAUAUUUAUCCUCAUCAUUUUAGUACGUGGGCAUUGCACUACAAAUUAAAGUUGUCAACUACCAAGAAUUAAUAUAACCAAACUCAGUACGAAAAACGUAAAUGACACUGAGAAAAUACACAUAAGCGCAAACCGUUUGGGAUGUUUAAAAUUUAUUCAAUAUGAUUGAUAUUUCUAUGAAAGUAUCGGACAAAUCACAUAAACAUAUGAAAAAUGGAUGAAGUUUAAACUUCACUCCAUAUCAAAGAAACUCUUAAAUUUCGUCGAUAUUUUUAACAUAUCGAUUAAAUAUCAAAAAAAUUCUUAUAUUUCGUAGCAACAUUUGACAUUCUAUAAAGUUUCAUUUUAAAUUUUCAUCAGUUUCAUUAUAAAAAAAAAAACAAUAUGGAUAUAGUAUUAAUAUAUCCACUAAUAUUUCCACCCAUAUCGAUAUCUUUAAAUCCUAACCGUCUGUAGCUGAAUUGAUUACGACUAAUUCAUUAUUACAGACCGAUCUGGAGUUCGAUUUCUCUAUUCCCUCUACAUCGCCUGAGUCAGAAAAAUGAAGUGAACUGACCUGGCAGCCCUAAGACAGGUGUCACGAAAUGAGGCAUGUAGCAGGAACAGAAGGUGGUGCCAUGGGUGAGUGUCGCAAGCGUUUCGUAACAGAAAACGUCAGAAGCAAAUGCGAAAAGAGGGAGAUAAGAUUCUUUGAAAUGGCUUUCGAGCCGUGAGUCACGAGCGGUGACCGACACAUUGGCGUGUACGGUCAAGCAAAGCAAGGAGGAGUGAGAAGGUAGAGCGAGAAACGAGCAUGAGAUCAUCACCCUUAAAUUUCGGUUUCGAUAAAAUUAAGGGUUUUUGGAUCUUAAGCUACCAAACCCUAUCCCUUCCUCAUCCAAACAAAAAGAAAUAAAAGAAAUUUUUUCCAAUUAAAUAAAAAACCAACCAAAAAUCUUUUGUUAUUUUUAAUAUAAUUGCCAAAUUUGUAUUCCAGUUAAUUACCACUUGAAAGUAGUUUCUAAACCAAAUUGAUACAUGCCACUAACAGUAAGUUUAAAAUUCAGCUCAUAUACGUAUUCUUCUUUACUAUUAAGUAAGAUAUUUUAGAUUCAAUUCUCAUCAAAUGUCAAUUUAAAUCACAUUAUUGUAAUCCAUUAUGAAAUUUAACUCAUUUUCACCUUUUAGUGUAGAUAAUAUCAUUUGUUAAAAUAAUAAUAAUAAUAAUAAGUUCGAUAUUUAAUUAUUAUAACUGAAUUAUUGUGUGACUUAAUUCAAAAAUUAUAAACACAAACCACCUGAUAUAAAUAUAUAUAUAUAUAUAUAUAUAUAUGUAUGUGUGCGUGCGCGCUUGUAUGUGAUGUGAUAGUGCUUAUGAAGAUGUGUUAGGUUUGAAGAUCCCAAUAAUAUGUUGAUAGUUAAUGUGGUUGAAAGCAAUUGACUUUUCAUUUGUGUGAGUGAAAAAGCAGAGACACUAAAUAAAGUUACUCUCUGAGAAUAGGCGGCGCACCUUCGCACGAAAGGAUAUAAUAAAUUUUUGAAUAAAAGACGCACAUGAUUAUUUAAUUUAUUUAUCAUAGGAAAAGAAGCAGAACGGUCUUCCAAUCAUGAGACAGGUGAAAUGAAAACAAUACAUAUGUUUGACUUUUGUCUGGUAAAAAGUUGUUGAAAUCUAUCGAUCAUGUAGGACCCAUUUAAGUUUUCAUCAACCUUAAAUUUCGUUACGACCCGUACGUCAAAUCGUUACGGAAACAAACUCUGACACAACUACUUACAAAAAAUGCAUGAGCAUGCAAAUUCAAAAUAGGGUAGCCCUAUAGUAUAGUAGGUUAACUAAUCCUUGAUAAAUAAUUAAUCCUUGAUAAAUAAUGAAUUGUCAUCAAUAUUAAGCAGAAGAAUUAGCACUAAUCAAGAUUAUAUAUCACCACAUAAAAUGACCCACCAUGAAAUGACCAUCAUGAAUCAAUGCCACAUGCGCGCCAAAUUCAAUCAACACCUAAAACUUCCACCUAGAAAAUUGUGCCCCCUUUCCUCAUCCAAUGAGGGGACCACUAACACCGUAACCGAUGGCUCCGUUAGCUGGGAUUUGCCGUGACGCUCAGGGGCGAAAAAUAAACCAAAAGUACACCACCAAUUAGCAUCGUAAUAAUCGCCCAAUUUCUAACCAAACGACGCCGUAUUCGUGCUAAGCCGGACCCGUUAUUGACUUUGGCCACGCCUGCACGUGCCAACCUUGGCCAGUAAAACGGAAAGGGAUCCUCACCGGAUUUUUUCCUAGGAUUUUAGGAAUUUCGUAAUUAUGAUCGUUCAUCGUAUAUCAUGCGGUCAAAAAUUGUUUCAAAAUUUAAAAUUAAGUAUAAAUAAUACCAAACAAAAACUAACCCAUGAUAUACGAUGAACGAUGAACGAUCACAAUCACGAUCACAACCUAAAACAAAUUCACAUAUUUACCACUGAAAGUAUCCAGCAAUUACACUACCUCCUUAUGUACGAAUUACAUUUUCCAUUUCCUACCCUAAACUGUUACGCGAAAAGCAGAGGACUUGCAACUCAAGUAAUAUAAAACAUUUAUCACUACACUCGCGGUCUUACGUUCAAUCCCAUGUCCAACUAUCACUUGUACUAAAAAAAAUUAAUACACAAAAAGUUUUUCAAACUCAAGUUCGAUUCACCUAAAUAACGAAAAUGAUAUAUGUUUUUAUAAAAACAGUGUUUCUAUCUCCAUUCAAUUAGAAGAUGUUUCAAAUUUAACUCACCUAAAAGAUAAAAACGAUACAUAUUUUGAGUGAGUCUGAUACUUAGUUGUGCAUGUCAUGAAUGCAUGGCUGUGUGAGUACAUUAUAAAGUCUUUGUUAAUUAGUUUUCUAUAUAAUUAUCAAAUCGUUUACCGGGAACGGGAGUCAUCAGUUAUAUCUAAACACCUCAAUGGGACUCUCUGUUGUUUGGCUUCUUUCUUUUCUGUUCACAUUUCUUUCACUCCCUGAUUAACUUUUCCCCAUUUUUGAUUCUUUCUGAGGGUUGAAUGAGAUCUGGGCAGUCACUCAAAUUUUGGGUAGCUCUAUAAAUCCUCUCGGAUUUUGCCAAUAUUUUAUCUCUCCGUGCAAUAAAUUCUACCAAACAGCUGAGAAUAAAGUGGCAUUAUCCGUGGAGAUUUCUGUUUUCCCCAUCUUAUUUAAUUAAACUGAAAAUUUUCGGUGAUUGAGAGAUCUGAAUUUUAUCAACCAGAUGAUGCUGAGUGUAAUGUUUAUGGUGAGCUGGGUAAACUCUCAUGUUUUGUUGUGUUCUUAGCUCAAAGCUAGGUUUUUUUCAGCUGGAAAUUCUCAAAUUUUGCGGUUUUGUUUCUCUGUGGCAGGUGAUUCAAUAAAAUGGGGAAGAGAAGGAUGAAGAAUUCUUGAUUUCGAGAAAUCGAAAUCGAAAUCCCGCCUUGAAGGAACUGAAUUGAGUGAGUGAGGAGAAAUCUAAGAACUUAAGAGGUGGGUGGAUCCCUCUUAAGGCAGAGGGAUCGGAAUGGGUGAACAGGGAGGAGAUCAAAGUUCUUGCUGUUGGAUGCCACCAACUCCUUACAGGCCUAUUCUCACCAGACCGGAGACCAAAUUGCGGCCGGAAAUUUCGACGUCCUCGAGACCAUUGGGGGUAGAAGAAAUUCAAGAGAAUAGAUUAGUUAUAGACUUGGAUCCGGAUCCCGCGGAAGAGAGCGGAUUUGUUUACCAUGGAGCUGGAGUUGGAGCCGGUAGCGGCGUUGAAACUUCAACGGACGCUUAUUUCCGCCGCGUGGCACAGUGGAGAGAUGUCCCUUGCAAAGAGCUCAUGAUCCUCGCGGUGGCCUCUGCGAAUGAUGGGAGCGGUAGUGCAGUGCUGGGAGAUACUCAGCGUAAGUGCAACCAAUUGAGUUUUAAGUUGUUAUUUGUACCACAUUUACUAAAUCGCAAUGAAUGCCAGCACAUGUGCAGACCCAUGCGUAUCUGGACCCACAGACCCACGUGGAUCUGUGCGUUUGGACCCACGUGCGUCUGGCCCUCUAAUCAUUAGAGAACGGCUGGACGCACGUGAUUUCUUCUUUAUUAGGAGAAAUUCUUGCAUUCGAACUUCUGUACGCGGCACCACUCGCCGCAGCCUAUAAGACGACUAUCUCUCUCCUUUUGUCUUGUCACGUGAUGAGAGAUAAAAACACACUAAAGUCUUCCAUAACUUUUCAUAGAGUUGUUUAGUGACCAAUAAAUGGAGAGACUUGCAUGAAUGCUACUUUUUUCCUCUCACGUGAGGAGAGAAGAUGCAUACGCAAAGGGUACUCGCCUGGUUGCAAGUUGAGCCCCAUAUAGCUUUGUACUUGAUUUUUGCUAUGAACUCUAAUUUUUACUAUCUUACACCACAAGCAAAGCAUUUUAAACAAAUUCAUCAGUCUAUUGAGAAGUGAAGAAUAUAAUUACCGUACAAGAAGUAAACUCGGCAGUCACCGAAUUUAAGGGCUGGAGAGCCGCCUUAGCAUGGAUAGUUUCGGGAAGUGUCUACAAACAGCAUGAAUGUGAUAAUUGUCCAAACAAGUAAAAACGUUCGAAAUGAAAAUACUGAUAGCAGGCUACAUAAGGGGUAGAGUGUUCAGGAAUACGAUACCUAGAAGAUAGUAAUGACUGCUAAAUACUUGCACUAUGCAUGAUAGAACAAGUAAUGAGACUGUUCUCACACACCUCAUUUGUCAUAUAUUCUGACUGCAAUAAUUGAGUUGUGUAUUGAUGUGUUGUAUGAAUUUCUGAUUUUCGGUAAGAAUUUUAUCGUGGGGAGCAAAUUCUCCAUGAUUACUACCAGUUUUUUUACAAGAUGUCGACUUAUGUUAAUUUUAAGUGCAACUCUACAAAUCAACAACAAAGUUUGUAGUUAGCCUUUUUUUACCUCUUUGAUCAGUAGAUGAACCGAUAUUUCUUCUAUGCAGAUGAAUUUUCAUUCCCUGACAACCAUCCUUAUGAUCUGAAUAUUCCACCUCCGACUACAAAUGGCCAAUUUGCACCUAUAACACCAGAUAAGUCCAUGAGAGUUGACA
rnacentral:lncRNA from 1 species